GCACAAGAAUUCCGUAUCUCUGCCCAGGAAGUGUUGGAGUUUGGGGACAAGGUGUCCUUUCCUGCUACUGCUGCCCCCCUCAGACAACGUGUGUACAGCCCCAGGCCAGAACAACCCCUACUCCCUCUGAUCAGGCUUUCUCACCUUGCCUCUGCAGGUCUUUGAGCUGGGCAGACCAUCUAUGGGAGGAAGGAUGUCAGCGUUGAGCAGCAGCUGAAACCUGGUCCUGACAGUCCGAACGCUCCUUGGUGACAACUACACCAGGCUCCAGAGCAUCGAAGCUGUAAAACAGGGAAUAGCAACAACAACAACAACAAAAAGACAUUACAACACUGCACAACAUCAAUUCACCUCCCACGUUUAGAUAAGAAGAAUAACCUCAUACAAUGCACUGAAAAUGAUUGUCACCUGAAGUGCUGGUACUGCUUCAUCUGUGGCAGUGGCCUGAAAUACGGAGUCAGGUGUUGUUGCCAGCCAUAGCUUUCCACCAGCACCGUACCAUCCUCCAGUGCAACCAGCUGUCACAGUGCGGUCCUUCACAACACCAUCAAUCUCAGACAAAGUGUUCACAAACAGAGCUCCACACUGCCAAGCAGAAACACCAGCAGAUCCAGGAGCACAUGCAGGAGGUGUGGCGGGAGGCUCGGUGGAUCAUAGAUGCUAUACAGUAUGCCCGCUACAAGCAGCCCACAGGUGGCAUUUCCCUGGCCUGGAUCAUCAACCUCUCCAGUGAGGUGUUGUCUGACAUGCCCCGCUCCACCUCCUCCCAGCCAGACCACCUGCCCUUGCCUAUGCCCUCCUGAACCCAGCCGCAAGCACUCUGUAGACUUCCACGGUUUCUCCUACAAAGAGGGCUACUCUGAGGUCUUCCUUACCACCAACAGUGACUACAAUUCCAGCCAUGCCCAGAGCCCCCACGACAGUGUUGUAGGAGGGGGUGGAGAGGGUUCAGGGAUGGGGGAUCUGAGGGACACCACCCCCAACGUCCUCCAGGCCUCGGAGCCCCAAACAGGCCCUUUCGGCGAACGACAGCUGAGCAGAGUGGGGCCCGGGGGGAGAGGCGAAGUGACAGCGACUUCAUCUUACCCAGCCGGCAGAUCGAUCUACUGA
rnacentral:lncRNA from 13 species